rnacentral:rRNA from 1 species
AGAGCGAACGCUGGCGGCAGGCCUAACACAUGCAAGUCGAGCGCCCCGCAAGGGGAGCGGCAGACGGGAGAGUAACACGUGGGGACGUACCCUUCAGUUCGGAACAACCCAGGGAAACUUGGGCUAAUACCGAAUACGUCCGUAAGGAGAAAGAUUUAUCGCUGAAGGAUCGGCCCGCGUCUGAUUAGCUUGUUGGUGAGGUAAUGGCUCACCAAGGCUACGAUCAGUAGCUGGUCUGAGAGGAUGAUCAGCCUCACUGGGACUGAGACACGGCCCAGACUCCUACGGGAGGCAGCAGUGGGGAAUAUUGGACAAUGGGCGCAAGCCUGAUCCAGCCAUGCCGCGUGGGUGAUGAAGGCCCUAGGGUUGUAAAGCCCUUUCGGCGGGGAAGAUAAUGACGGUACCCGCAUAAGAAGCCCGGCUAACUUCGCGCCAGCAGCCGC